GACGAAGGGGGCUAGCGUUGCUCGGAAUCACUGGGCGUAAAGGGUGCGUAGGCGGGUCUUUAAGUCAGGGGUGAAAUCCUGGAGCUCAACUCCAGAACUGCCUUUGAUACUGAAGAUCUUGAGUUCGGGAGAGGUGAGUGGAACUGCGAGUGUAGAGGUGAAAUUCGUAGAUAUUCGCAAGAACACCAGUGGCGAAGGCGGCUCACUGGCCCGAUACUGACGCUGAGGCACGAAAGCGUGGGGAAGCGAACGAGGA
rnacentral:rRNA from 1 species